CCUACGGGAGUCAGCAGUGAGGAAUAUUGGUCAAUGGGCGCAAGCCUGAACCAGCCAAGUAGCGUGAAGGAUGACUGCCCUCCGGGUUGUAAACUUCUUUUAUAAAGGAAUAAAGUGAGGAACGUGUGCCUUUUUGUAUGUACUUUAUGAAAAAGGAUCGGCUAACUCCGUGCCAGCAGCCGCGGUAAUACGGAGGAUCCGAGCGUUAUCCGGAUUUAUUGGGUUUAAAUGGAGCGUUGAUGGGUUGUUAAGUCAGUUGUGAAAGUUUGCGGCUCAACCGUAAAAUUGCAAUUGAUAAUGGCAGUCUUGAGUACAGUUGAGGUAGGCGGAAUUCGUGGUGUAGCGGGGAAAUGCUUAGAUAUCACGAAGAACUCCGAUUGCGAAGGCAGCUUACUAAACUGCCACUGACAUUGAUGCUCGAAAGUGUGGGUAUCAAACAGGAUUAGAUACCCCAGUAGUC
rnacentral:rRNA from 1 species